rnacentral:rRNA from 1 species
UGCCAGCAGCCGCGGUAAUACGGAGGGGGUUUGCGUUGUUCGGAAUUACUGGGCUUAAAGAGUUCGUAGGUGGUUGAAAAAGUUGGUGGUGAAAUCCCAGAGCUUAACUCUGGAACUGCCAUCAAAACUUUUCAGCUAGAGUAUGAUAGAGGAAAGCAGAAUUUCUAGUGUAGAGGUGAAAUUCGUAGAUAUUAGAAAGAAUACCAAUUGCGAAGGCAGCUUUCUGGAUCAUUACUGACACUGAGGAACGAAAGCAUGGGUAGCGAAAGGGAUUAGAUA